rnacentral:rRNA from 1 species
GAUGAACGCUGGCGGCGUGCCUAAUACAUGCAAGUCGAGCGAAGCGGGGACGGGCGAGUAACACGUGGAUAACCUCCUAUAAGACUGGGAUAACUUCGGGAAACCGGAGCUAAACCGGUUACUUAUAGAUGGAUCCGAGCUGCAUUAGCUAGUUGGUAAGGUAACGGCUUACCAAGGCAACGAUGCAUAGCCGACCUGGGAGGGUAACGUGACAGACGGGAACGGAUACACGGUCCAGACUCCGACGGGAGACAGGAGUAUGGAAUCGGCCGCAAUGGGCGAAAGCCUGACGGAGCAACGCCGGGUGAGUGAUGAAGGUCUUCGGAUCAAAAAGCUCUGUUAUUAGGGAAGCGGUACUUAAUCAGAAAGCCACAGCUAACUACGUGCCAGCAACCGCGGUAGUAC